rnacentral:rRNA from 1 species
CCUACGGGAGGUAGCAGUGGGGAAUAUUGGACAAUGGGCGAAAGCCUGAUCCAGCAAUGCCGCGUGAGUGAUGAAGGCCUUAGGGUUGUAAAGCUCUUUUACCAGGGAUGAUAAUGACAGUACCUGGAGAAUAAGCUCCGGCUAACUCCGUGCCAGCAGCCGCGGUAAUACGGAGGGAGCUAGCGUUGUUCGGAAUUACUGGGCGUAAAGCGUACGUAGGCGGUUAUUCAAGUCAGAGGUGAAAGCCUGGAGCUCAACUCCAGAACUGCCUUUGAAACUAGGUAGCUAGAAUCACGGAGAGGUUAGUGGAAUUCCGAGUGUAGAGGUGAAAUUCGUAGAUAUUCGGAAGAACACCAGUGGCGAAGGCGACUAACUGGACGUGUAUUGACGCUGAGGUACGAAAGCGUGGGGAGCAAACAGGAUUAGAUACCCUGGUAGUCCACGCCGUAAACGAUGAUAACUAGCUGUUCGGUCUCUACGAGACUGAGUGGCGCAGCUAACGCAUUAAGUUAUCCGCCUGGGGAGUACGGUCGCAAGNUUAAAACUUAAAGGAAUUGAACGG